GGUUGGUCCAAGUGCAGUGGCACUUACAACUAAUUGAUACAGCCAGUCACAGCAUUCUUUGUUCCUUCUCCACUCCCACUGCUUCACUUGACCAGCCGAAA
rnacentral:Y_RNA from 1 species